GGCCCGGCACUUGCACUAAUUCCUUCGACGGCAGCCAAUGAUGGUUGCCCCAUACGGCAAAGGCGUCGC
rnacentral:ncRNA from 1 species